AUAUUUAACAAGCACGUCACGUAUACAGCCUCUUCAAUCCUGACAUAAUAUAAUGCUAGGUGGCAGUGGCAAGUUCCAAAAUGUUCAAUGACAUCACAAAACCCGGUCGAGUCGAUAUUCGGCUAUUCUAUAUAGUAUGGUGCACGGUAGGUAACCGUUUUUCACACCCCUCGUAAUUGCCUUUACUUUACGGAGAAUAAAAAAG